rnacentral:rRNA from 1 species
AGUGAACGCUGGCGGUAGGCCUAACACAUGCAAGUCGAACGGCAGCACAGUAAGAGCUUGCUCUUACGGGUGGCGAGUGGCGGACGGGUGAGGAAUACAUCGGAAUCUACUUUUUCGUGGGGGAUAACGUAGGGAAACUUACGCUAAUACCGCAUACGACCUACGGGUGAAAGCAGGGGAUCUUCGGACCUUGCGCGAUUGAAUGAGCCGAUGUCGGGUUAGCUAGUUGGCGGGGUAAAGGCCCACCAAGGCGACGAUCCGUAGCUGGUCUGAGAGGAUGAUCAGCCACACUGGAACUGAGACACGGUCCAGACUCCUACGGGAGGCAGCAGUGGGGAAUAUUGGACAAUGGGCGCAAGCCUGAUCCAGCCAUACCGCGUGGGUGAGGAAGGCCUUCGGGUUGUAAAGCCCUUUUGUUGGGAAAGAAAAGCAGCAGGUUAAUACCCCGCUGUUCUGACGGUACCCAAAGAAUAAGCACCGGCUAACUUCGUG